rnacentral:lncRNA from 1 species
GGGAAACUUAAUUGGAAGAAUUCCAGAAAUCUCAUCCGGUAGGGCUGAAUUAGAGAAUACAAUUUUAAAAUUGGUAACAUAGAAGCAAAAGAUGAAAUGGGGCAUGAGACUUUAACAAAGUUUUGAGUAAGAUACCAGGUAGACAGUUUGCAAUCUGAUCUCGUCUUUUCUGGAUGUCAGAAGGGCAACGCGUGCAUUUCUUUCAAUUUGCACGUUGUUCCCGGGCUCAGCUGGUGACACCAGUUACACUGCGACAUUGCCACCAAGGCCGUGGGGUUGUACAGAUAGAUUGAGGCUAUGUUUUGGUUUGCUGAGUUUUAGUGGUGAUACAGACGGAGAGAACCCAGGUUGACUUUUGGAUUUAGUUACGGUCUUCUCUGUGGGAGAGAUUUUUUAGAAGAAAGAAAACGUUAUUUGCUGCAAAUCUCUUUGUACACUCAAAGAUCAGUGAGGCAGAACAGCCUCCAAUACCGUUAAAUCCUUCAGAAAUCGUCCAUCAAAACGAAGCUGUAUUUCCCAUAUGGCUUCAGUAGUCUGAGUGUUAAUGCAUUUUGCUGUCCUGCUUAGGAAGUGGAGCACAGACUGGUUUUGUAGAGGUGUGGCAGAGGUGCAGCAUGCCUACCUUGUGCUAAGUAGGAGUUGAUGUAAUUUUAUUACUGAAAGGAGAACACUUGAGGGGUUUGAAUUCUUUUUAUCUUGGUUUUUGAUUUUUCUAAGACUGGUUAAAAUGGAUUACAGUCGAUAAUUCAUACUGUGCUGUGUUAAAGCCUUUUUAAGAAGUUACAGCUGUCAUCCAAGAAGAACAGGAGUGUGCCCGUACUUGCUUUCUGCAGUGUUGGAAAUGAAUUUGUGCAAAUCAGAGGGGAGCAACCUCAGUGCUGUGAUGAACUGCUUUGUGUGUGUUGUGGGAAUUGCCCCUCAAGGAUGUUGACCCAUAUUAAGAAGAUGACUGUUCCAUUUGGGUGGUUUUGCUUCUUGAAGAGACCAAGUGUUACCCUCUGGCUCAUCUGCAGUUACCCCAAAUCUCAGGAAGUUGGUAUUUGGGUCACAAGUUUUAAAUUGCUGAGCCAUGAUUGAAAUCCUCCUGAAGCCAAAUGUAGAAAUGUAGCAUAUGAAUUUUUAUCUUUCUGUAACUUUUGUGCUUUCUACUUCCCCUUUCCCUCCCAACAAAACAGAAAAUGAUGAGCACAAUUGAAAGAAAUGUGCUAUGGGAAUUGGAGAGCAGGUGAAGGAGGGGAAAAAGCUGUUUUAAAAACAUAUCACAGAAUCGCACACAGAACCACAGAAUUGCAGGGACCGAUUGUAACUAAAACAUUGACAUAAAAUGGUAAAUGAUUUUUACAAAACGUUAUCAUAAAUUUGGCUGCUUAUCCAAGAAUGAAGAGCUAAACGUUUCAGACAGUAAGUCAUCCAAUAAAGCAGAUGACUUAGAUGAUGUGAUACUUUUAAGCGUUAUAUUGAACAAGCAGUUGUAAUCUAUCUCAGGAUUAAUGUAUGAUUUUUAAAUAAGCUUUAUAGAACAUAUGCUAUCACAGUAAAUGUGUAUUUAGGCAAUAUUUGUUUUGAUCCUAUACAGUGCAGUGAUUUGGUUGGUCUGCUUCCUCCAUUACUGCUUCUUUUACCUGUUCUGUUACUGAAUUAUAAUCCCUCAGAUUUUUGUUACUUCGAUUCAUUCAGAAUCACGAAACUCAUUAAAAAAUGCAUGUGCAUACGUGACAGUUGGGAUGCAGUCGGAUAAAAUUUUUAAUGAGAAAAAUUUGAAUGAAUUUUACUGUUUAACUGAAGUUGUCUUCAUCACCCAUAUCAAUUUAAGGAUUGUUUAGGUGUUAAAAACAGGUAAGUAAAAGUUUAAAUAAAAAGGAGUAUGUCCCAUGAGUAUGGGUGGGCAUAUAGUGAAUGUACUAAACGAAGAGGAAGAUAAAUGGGGACCAAAAAUAAUUGAGCAUCAUUUUAAUUUUUUUAUAUAAUAAAACUGUUAUAUAAAUAUCUGAAGUAAUAAGUAAAAUUCAGCCCCGUAAUAAAUAAGUAAAGAAUUUAAAGCUCAAGUGCUGGAAGUCUGUGAGUCUAAGAGAACUAAUAUAUCCAAGAGAAGCCAAAACAGUAGAGGCUAUGUAAAAAAUGAGGGCUAGGUACAUUAAUGUUAAUUCAGAUAUAUCUUCUGCAAUGAGAGUAAUGAAA